rnacentral:tRNA from 1 species
GGGAUUGUGGCUCAGUGGCAGAGCGCUUGCCUUGAACGUAGGAGGCACUGGGUUUGAUCCUCAGUACUA